GGGUUGUGAGGUUAAGCGACUAAGCGUACACGGUGGAUGCCCUGGCAGUCAGAGGCGAUGAAGGACGUGCUAAUCUGCGAUAAGCGUCGGUGAGGUGAUAUGAACCGUUAUAACCGGCGAUUUCCGAAUGGGGAAACCCAGUGUGUUUCGACACACUAUCAUUAACUGAAUCCAUAGGUUAAUGAGGCGAACCGGGGGAACUGAAACAUCUAAGUACCCGAGGAAAAGAAAUCAACCGAGAUUCCCCAGUAGCGGCGAGCGAACGGGGAGGAGCCCAGAGCCUGAAUCAGUGUGUGUGUUAGUGGAAGCGUCUGGAAAGGCGCGCGAUACAGGGUGACAGCCCCGUACACAAAAAUGCACAUACUGUGAGCUCGAUGAGUAGGGCGGGACACGUGGUAUCCUGUCUGAAUAUGGGGGGACCAUCCUCCAAGGCUAAAUACUCCUGACUGACCGAUAGUGAACCAGUACCGUGAGGGAAAGGCGAAAAGAACCCCGGCGAGGGGAGUGAAAAAGAACCUGAAACCGUGUACGUACAAGCAGUGGGAGCCUCUUAAUGGGGUGACUGCGUACCUUUGUAUAAUGGGUCAGCGACUUAUAUUCUGUAGCAAGGUUAACCGAAUAGGGGAGCCGAAGGGAAACCGAGUCUUAACUGGGCGUUAAGUUGCAGGGUAUAGACCCGAAACCCGGUGAUCUAGCCAUGGGCAGGUUGAAGGUUGGGUAACACUAACUGGAGGACCGAACCGACUAAUGUUGAAAAUUAGCGGAUGACUUGUGGCUGGGGGUGAAAGGCCAAUCAAACCGGGAGAUAGCUGGUUCUCCCCGAAAGCUAUUUAGGUAGCGCCUCGUGAAUUCAUCUCCGGGGUAGAGCACUGUUUCGGCAAGGGGGUCAUCCCGACUUACCAACCCGAUGCAAACUGCGAAUACCGGAGAAUGUUAUCACGGGAGACACACGGCGGGUGCUAACGUCCGUCGUGAAGAGGGAAACAACCCAGACCGCCAGCUAAGGUCCCAAAGUCAUGGUUAAGUGGGAAACGAUGUGGGAAGGCCCAGACAGCCAGGAUGUUGGCUUAGAAGCAGCCAUCAUUUAAAGAAAGCGUAAUAGCUCACUGGUCGAGUCGGCCUGCGCGGAAGAUGUAACGGGGCUAACCAUGCACCGAAGCUGCGGCAGCGACACUAUGUGUUGUUGGGUAGGGGAGCGUUCUGUAAGCCUGUGAAGGUGGCCUGUGAGGGUUGCUGGAGGUAUCAGAAGUGCGAAUGCUGACAUAAGUAACGAUAAAGCGGGUGAAAAGCCCGCUCGCCGGAAGACCAAGGGUUCCUGUCCAACGUUAAUCGGGGCAGGGUGAGUCGACCCCUAAGGCGAGGCCGAAAGGCGUAGUCGAUGGGAAACAGGUUAAUAUUCCUGUACUUGGUGUUACUGCGAAGGGGGACGGAGAAGGCUAUGUUGGCCGGGCGACGGUUGUCCCGGUUUAAGCGUGUAGGCUGGUUUUCCAGGCAAAUCCGGAAAACCAAGGCUGAGGCGUGAUGACGAGGCACUACGGUGCUGAAGCGACAAAUGCCCUGCUUCCAGGAAAAGCCUCUAAGCAUCAGGUAACAUCAAAUCGUACCCCAAACCGACACAGGUGGUCAGGUAGAGAAUACCAAGGCGCUUGAGAGAACUCGGGUGAAGGAACUAGGCAAAAUGGUGCCGUAACUUCGGGAGAAGGCACGCUGAUAUGUAGGUGAAGCGACUUGCUCGUGGAGCUGAAAUCAGUCGAAGAUACCAGCUGGCUGCAACUGUUUAUUAAAACACAGCACUGUGCAAACACGAAAGUGGACGUAUACGGUGUGACGCCUGCCCGGUGCCGGAAGGUUAAUUGAUGGGUUAGCGGUAACGCGAAGCUCUUGAUCGAAGCCCCGGUAAACGGCGGCCGUAACUAUAACGGUCCUAAGGUAGCGAAAUUCCUUGUCGGGUAAGUUCCGACCUGCACGAAUGGCGUAAUGAUGGCCAGGCUGUCUCCACCCGAGACUCAGUGAAAUUGAACUCGCUGUGAAGAUGCAGUGUACCCGCGGCAAGACGGAAAGACCCCGUGAACCUUUACUAUAGCUUGACACUGAACAUUGAGCCUUGAUGUGUAGGAUAGGUGGGAGGCUUUGAAGUGUGGACGCCAGUCUGCAUGGAGCCGACCUUGAAAUACCACCCUUUAAUGUUUGAUGUUCUAACGUUGGCCCGUAAUCCGGGUUGCGGACAGUGUCUGGUGGGUAGUUUGACUGGGGCGGUCUCCUCCUAAAGAGUAACGGAGGAGCACGAAGGUUGGCUAAUCCUGGUCGGACAUCAGGAGGUUAGUGCAAUGGCAUAAGCCAGCUUGACUGCGAGCGUGACGGCGCGAGCAGGUGCGAAAGCAGGUCAUAGUGAUCCGGUGGUUCUGAAUGGAAGGGCCAUCGCUCAACGGAUAAAAGGUACUCCGGGAUAACAGGCUGAUACCGCCCAAGAGUUCAUAUCGACGGCGGUGUUUGGCACCUCGAUGUCGGCUCAUCACAUCCUGGGGCUGAAGUAGGUCCCAAGGGUAUGGCUGUUCGCCAUUUAAAGUGGUACGCGAGCUGGGUUUAGAACGUCGUGAGACAGUUCGGUCCCUAUCUGCCGUGGGCGCUGGAGAACUGAGGGGGCUGCUCCUAGUACGAGAGGACCGGAGUGGACGCAUCACUGGUGUUCGGGUUGUCAUGCCAAUGGCACUGCCCGGUAGCUAAAUGCGGAAGAGAUAAGUGCUGAAAGCAUCUAAGCACGAAACUUGCCCCGAGAUGAGUUCUCCCUGAGACUUAGAGUCUCCUGAAGGAACGUUGAAGACGACGACGUUGAUAGGCCGGGUGUGUAAGCGCAGCGAUGCGUUGAGCUAACCGGUACUAAUGAACCGUGAGGCUUAACCUUACAACGCCGAAG
rnacentral:rRNA from 1 species